rnacentral:rRNA from 1 species
GAGCGGUAACAGGGGGUGCUUGCACCCCGCUGACGAGCGGCGGACGGGUGAGUAAUGCUUAGGAAUCUGCCCAGUAGUGGGGGAUAGCCCGGGGAAACCCGGAUUAAUACCGCAUACGUCCUACGGGAGAAAGCAGGGGAUCUUCGGACCUUGCGCUAUUGGAUGAGCCUAAGUCGGAUUAGCUAGUUGGUGGGGUAAAGGCCUACCAAGGCGACAAUCCGUAUCUGGUCUGAGAGGAUGAUCAGCCACAUCGGGACUGAGACACGGCCCGAACUCCUACGGGAGGCAGCAGUGGGGAAUAUUGGACAAUGGGGGCAACCCUGAUCCAGCCAUGCCGCGUGUGUGAAGAAGGCUUUCGGGUUGUAAAGCACUUUCAGCGAGGAGGAAGGCCUUAAAGUUAAUACCUUUGAGGAUUGACGUUACUCGCAGAAGAAGCACCGGCUAACUCCGUGCCAGCAGCCGCGGUAAUACGGAGGGUGCAGGCGUUAAUCGGAAUUACUGGGCGUAAAGCGCGCGUAGGUGGUUAGGUAAGCGAGAUGUGAAAGCCCCGGGCUUAACCUGGGGAACGGCAUUUCGAACUGUCUGACUAGAGUGUGGUAGAGGGUAGUGGAAUUUCCUGUGUAGCGGUGAAAUGCGUAGAUAUCGGA